rnacentral:rRNA from 1 species
GGGCGUAAGCGUACGCAGGCGGUUUGUUAAGCGAGAUGUGAAAGCCCCGGGCUUAACCUGGGAACUGCAUUUCGAACUGGCAAACUAGAGUGUGAUAGAGGGUGGUAGAAUUUCAGGUGUAGCGGUGAAAUGCGUAGAGAUCUGAAGGAAUACCGAUGGCGAAGGCAGCCACCUGGGUCAACACUGACGCUCAUGUACGAAAGCGUGGGGAGCAAACAGGAUUAGAUAC